GACUACUGGGGUAUCUAAUCCUGUUCGAUCCCCACGCUUUCGUGCAUCAGCGUCAGUAUUGGCCCAGCAAGCUGCCUUCGCAAUCGGUGUUCUGUGUAAUAUCUAAGCAUUUCACCGCUACAUUACACAUUCCGCCUACCUUGACCAUACUCAAGACCAACAGUAUCAAUGGCAAGUCUACAGUUAAGCUGCAGAAUUUCACCACUGACUUAUUGAUCCGCCUACGCACCCUUUAAACCCAAUAAAUCCGGAUAACGCUCGCAUCCUCCGUAUUACCGCGGCUGCUGGCACGGAGUUAGCCGAUGCUUAUUCCCAGAGUACCGUCAAUUCCCGUCACGACGGAAAAAUUCUCCCCCUGGAAAAGAAGUUUACAACGCAUAGCGCCUUCUUCCUUCACGCGGGAUGGCUGGUUCAGGCUUGCGCCCAUUGACCAAUAUUCCUCACUGCAGCCCCCCGUAGG
rnacentral:rRNA from 1 species